rnacentral:rRNA from 1 species
UACGUAGGGGGCAAGCGUUGUCCGGAAUUAUUGGGCGUAAAGCGCGCGCAGGCGGCUAUUUAAGUCUCAUGUUUAAACCCAAGGCUCAACCUUGGAUCGCAUGGGAAACUGGGUGGCUUGAGUGCAGAAGAGGAGAGCGGAAUUCCACGUGUAGCGGUGAAAUGCGUAGAGAUGUGGAGGAACACCAGUGGCGAAGGCGGCUCUCUGGUCUGUAACUGACGCUGAGGCGCGAAAGCGUGGGGAGCAAACAGG